rnacentral:rRNA from 1 species
UAGUCAUAUGCUCGUCUUAAAGAUUAAGCCAUGCAUGUCUAAGUGUAAACAUUUAUACUGUGAAACUGCGAAUGGCUCAUUAUAUCAGUUAUAGUUUAUUUGAUAGUACAUCCUACUUGGAUAACCGUAGUAAUUCUAGAGCUAAUACAUGCUAAAAGUCCCGACUUGGCGACAGGAAGGGGCGUAUUUAUUAGAUAAAAAGCCAAUGGGUGGGGUGGUUCACUCCAUCCCAUCCAAACAACCUCGGUUGAUUCAUGAUAACUGCUCGAAUCGCAUAGUUUUACACUGGCGAUGAUUCAUUCAAAUUUCUGCCCUAUCAACUUUGGAUGGUAGUGUAGUGGACUACCAUGGUCUUGACGGGUAACGGGGAAUUAGGGUUCGGUUCCGGAGAGGGGGCUUGAGACUUGGCCACCACUUCCAAGGAAGGCAGCAGGCGCGAAAAUUACCCAAUGCACAUCGUGCGAGGUAGUGACGAUAAAUAACAAUGUGGGUGGCGACAAGCCACUCACAAUUGGAAUGAGUACAAUCCAAAAACCUUAACGAGGAACAAUUG